rnacentral:misc_RNA from 1 species
CUUAGCUGCGCAGUUUCCCCGAAGUAAGUUUGCCAGUUUUCUGUCUUAUCCUGAGGUUCGCCGGGUCAUGGUGCCAGCCUGACUGAGAAGAGGACGCUCCCGGGAAACGAAUGAGGAACCACCUCCUCCUGCUGUUCAAGUACAGGGGCCUGGUGCGCAAAGGGAAGAAAAGCAAAAGACGAAAAUGGCUAAAUUUAAGAUCCGUCCAGCCACUGCCUCUGACUGCAGUGACAUCCUGCGACUGAUCAAGGUAGGUAAAAGUCCGGGCUCUCCCUAGGGCAAAGGGGGAGGGGAGGCUCUGUUUCCCGGGGAAAUCCUCAUCUUCAGUUCUGAGACGCUGCCAGGCCAGCAAAUUCCGCCUCCUUGGCCUGCCAACCCCAGCCCGGGUCAGGCUCGGCAGUUCGGCGCCAGGCAGGACUCGCUCACCGCUCGACCCUGCCUGCCCCAUUUCUCCUCCUGUGCAGCUGGCUAGGCUGGCCAGGAGUUUCAUUGUCCUUUUCUUUAUAUGUAUCGUCCCCAGGAACUGGCUAAAUAUGAAUACAUGGAAGAUCAAGUCAUUUUAACUGAGAAAGGUAACAAGGCGUGGCGGGGGAGGGGGAGGGGGAGAAUGUAUCUGUUUCCUGGCACCUCCAAAAGUCAACUCUCACUGUCUCUGCCUCCCCUAUCUUACAGAUCUCCUAGAGGAUGGUUUUGGAGAACACCCCUUCUACCACUGCCUGGUUGCAGAAGUGCCUAAAGAGCACUGGACCCCUGAAGGUAACCCCUACUCCCUGUCCAGAAGCCAGAGAGAACUAAUGUUAUAUCAAACCCGUAGAGCCUACUGUGCAGAACCCGUGACUACACGGCAGAGGUUACUGAGGGAGCUGGCUGGAAAUAACAGCCAGCCAGUGUGCAAAUGACUGAGGAAAAAAAAUUAUGUUUAGUGUACUUUAUAAUAGGGCGGGUUACGAGAGAGCUGUUUGAGCAAGUAUCAAAAGUUCUGUAGAAACCCGGAAAAGUUAGGUAUAAUGUCAUUUGUUGUAAUUCCCGUUUCAUAAAAUGGUUUUUGUUUGACCCCUAACCUAACCUUUUUUUUUGUAAUUGUGUUAAAUCACAUUUUUUUCUUUAAUUUGUCCCAAUCUUCAGGUUACAGUCUCUAGCUUCGAUGUACAUGGCCCUUCUGUGUACAUGGAUGGGCGGGGGAGGUAACUAAAAGAUCCUUUACACAAUAAAGUAGAUGAUCUAUGAUAAAUGAGGUAAGGUCCUAUUAUCGCACACUUAAAACACGGUAGAUCAGAAAUUUAUUUUCGCUUCCUGUCUGUCUGCAAAGAAAUAGAAAAUGGCUAGAAAAAUUUAAUUUGCAACCAUUGCCUCUAAUUUGCAACCUUUGCCUCCAUUUGGAAUUGAAUUGACACUCCUUAUGAGGGAGUCAAUUGUUAAUUAUUUUUAUUUUUAGUUAUGUAUUUACAACUUUUUUUUUUUUUUCUGGCCCUUGUUGACCUCGUCUGACGGGUAAAAGGGGAAGUUGUUUGGGUGGGUGCUUUCUUGAGUUUUCUUCUGAUGUCUGUUCCUUAGGCUCAAAGAUAAUCAGAACACGUAAGGGAUGAGAUAAGUUUUAGAAGUAUGUGGGUGUUAUGUAACACCUGUUUCUGGUUACUGCUAUUUCUCCUGCCUUAAAGAGUGGGGGAAGUAAAUUGAAAAUUUAUACGUGGGAGGGCAAGUUCUGAAAGUAAACAUUGUUCUUUUUGGCCUUGGUAUUCUGACCUUAAGGAAGGCAAGAGUUGGUAAACUACAAGUAUUUCCUCUUCUAAACUGCUGUGUAAACCCAACUUUUGGCCAAGCCAACAUACCAGCAUGUCAUUAGGAUGUGAAUAAUAUGUGUGUUUAGUUUAAGUCCCUGGUCCUUUUGUUCUGGCAAGUAAUGAAAGUGUUUCUCAUUUCCUGAGUGUGAGUCCUGCAGAGUACAGACUAGCCAGUCCACAAGUGUAGCCAUGCUUCACGUAUCUCUAAUGUGUGCCUUUGCAAGUACAUGUCUGAGACCAGAGAAAUCAUCCAUCAUUGGUCUGGACUGUAGUAGCAUAAACAUAAGGAGGCAGUCCACUUUCUGGCUACUUGUUUCAGUGGUGCACGCAUGUAUAUUUUGUUACAAUCUUACACUAGGCUUCUGAUUCUGCCAAUACAGCUUGAAUGGGUUGUUUUUCUUCUUUGCAUCUCAUGGGAUACUCUUAUUACAGGACACAGCAUUGUUGGGUUCGCCAUGUACUAUUUUACCUAUGACCCAUGGAUUGGCAAGUUACUGUAUCUUGAAGACUUCUUCGUGAUGAGUGAUUACAGAGGUACAGUUGACUUUGGGAUUGGAGGUAAUUUAAGGAGAAAUCAGAGCUCUAUGGCCUUAAAAUAUUAAGUUGAAUUGUAUUUCUUUCUUUUAGGCUUUGGUAUAGGAUCAGAAAUUUUGAAGAAUCUAAGCCAGGUAUGUUCACUAGCAUUUCAGUACAUAGAGCUCAGGCUGGCCUGGUCUUCCUAUGAGCCCUGGCUGGCCCUCAAAGGUAUUCUUCACCUGCCUAGUGCUGCAAUUAGAGCUGUGACCAGAUGUCCUAGAUUUGGGCUUCUGCAUUUGUAAGAGUUACUGGGUUAGUGUAAUGAAUGGAUCAAAGUUGGGUUUUGGUAAGAGGGUGAAAUGUUCUCUCUGGCUUGUACUAGGUUGCCAUGAAGUGUCGCUGCAGCAGUAUGCAUUUCUUGGUAGCAGAAUGGAAUGAACCAUCUAUCAACUUCUACAAGAGAAGAGGUGCUUCGGAUCUGUCCAGUGAAGAGGGAUGGAGGCUCUUCAAGAUUGACAAAGAGUACUUGCUAAAAAUGGCAGCAGAGGAGUGAGGCGUGCCGGUGUAGACAAUGACAACCUCCAUUGUGCUUUAGAAUAAUUCUCAACUUCCCUUGCUUUCUAUCUUGUGUAGUGAAAUAAUAGAGCGAGCACCCAUUCCAAAGCUUUAUUACCAGUUGACGUUGUUGCAUGUUUGAAAUUCGGUCUGUUUAAAGUAGCAGUCAUGUAUGUGGUUUGGAGGCAGAAUUCUUGAACAUCUUUUGAUGAAGAACAAGGUGGUUAUGAUCUUACUAUAUAAGAAAAACAAAACUUCAUUCUUGUGAGUCAUUUAAAUGUGUACAAUGUACCAACUGGUACUUAGAGUUCUGUUUUGAUUUCUUUUUUUAAAAAUAAA